GAAAAUAAAUAAAUGUUAAAAAAAGAUUUAAACAAGAAAGUAUCAAUCUGAAAAAAAGGAAGGAAGAGAGAAUUUGUGGGAUUUGCCCUAUUUAAACAAUAUAUGUCAUUACUCUGGAGUAUUAAGAGCAGGCAGGGCCACAGGAAAGCAGUUCCCAGCAGGUGAAUAGGUGAUAACAAACUGAUCAGGUUUGAUUUCUAGUUUUGUUUCAUUUUUAAUUUAUAAUAGUAAUAGCUAACGUGAGCUACAUACAUGAGUAUGAGUAUGCCGUGUGCAGUUUAUAAAUUGCUUUAGCAUGCAUUCAUGACCUAAUGUGAUUCUCAUGGCAGUGUAAUGAUACAGAUGCCAUCAUUAUCCCCCAUUUUACAGAGAAGAAGACUGAAGCUCUGAGAGACUGACUUUCCCCAGGUAUUCCAGGUAACAAGAGGCAGAGCUUGAAAUCAAGUUUAGGUAUUCUGACUUCAAAGUCUUUGUCCUUCUAUUCCGUUUUUUAAAGAAGACCUAAAACUCUGGAAUCCUUGAGCUGGAAGAGAUCUUGGAGACCUGGCGGGCCAGGCUUUGCUUAGUCCUGCAGGGUGUUAACACAGGUCCCAACAAAGUUUGGGAAAUGGCAGAUUAAAAGAUGUUGAAUGGACUUCUUGCCCACAGAAUGUCCCAAGGUCUUUGUUAAACUAAUGGAUCUUGAUGCUUUGGCUAAUCUUAUUUGGUGAUGGAUUUCUUCUUGGGCAGCAUCUACCUAAGACCCACAACCUUAGCCCCUAGCCGGUGAGACUCCUGAGUGGUGUUUUGGGUGAGUCCCAGACCGAACAGAACUAGAGCAACACUAUGGUUUUCAACAGAAUUGUAAAGAGUGAUGGAGUUUCUUCUGACUCUUGGGUCUCUUCUUUGUUAAUGCUGGUUUUUAUCCUAUGGCCCCUCAAACCAAACUGCAUGAGCUACUGUCCACAGUCCUCCUGGCCACAGUCGCCAUUGGAGGGCUCACCUGGACCUCCCAGGCUUCCUUACUGAUACCUGCUCUCAACUUGGUCCCUAGUAUUCCAGGCUCCAUGGUGAGGUGUGUUGGAGGUCAGGCUCUGGAUUGCUCAGGUUUAGAUCCUGACUCUCCUGUUCACUAUCUGUGUUUGCCAGUGUCUGUCAGUUUCCCCAUCAACAAAAGGAGGCUAAACAGUACCUGUUUCACAUGGUCUUGUAAAGAUUAAGUGAGAUCAUAUAAGUAAAGCACUCAGUUUAUUGCCUGGUCCCUAGCAGGUGUUCAAAAAACUCACAUUAUGAUUAUUAUCAUUUAAUAAUACACUGAACACUAGCUAAGUAUUGCCAGAAGACAUGUAGGCCACCUUCCAUUAGUUUCUCCAGAUGCACCAAGCAGUUAUGACCCCUGUAGAGUUGUCAUUAUCGAGUGAUGUCUUGAGGUCAUGCCCUUUGCAUGUUUGUGGGAUGUUAUGGGUUUAUAAAAGUCGCUGGACACCUCCCAUAGGGAUGGUCCUAUAUCCCUUUGUGCUCUAUGAUGACUUCUUCAUGAGACACUCCUUUCGGAAUCAAGUUCUAGGAAAAAUGUUUUGUAUCUUCUUGUGACCUUGAUGAUGGUUCUUUCUUCAUUUUGGCCUGGAGACAAAUUUUUGCCUCAGCCUAAUCUUAUUUAACCUCCCUUAAUUUAGCAUUUUCCCCUUUCUUUUGAUUUGUACUUUUCAUAUUACUGAGUUUCUGUUUGCAUUAAAAAAAAUUUUUUUUUAAUGUCUUCAUUUUGUAAUUGAUAUUUUUGUAAGCCAUUUGAGUCUUUGGAGAAUUAGACAGAGCACACAUACAUACACAUGUAUACAUAAAUAUCCCAGAAGGAUGAGCUGAGUAUCAAACAAAAAUCACUGUAUUGGAUAAGCAUUUAGUACCAAAUAGGUGGUGUAUCCUAAGUAAUUAUUUUUUAAGCAGUUUAUCCAUUUUUUAUACCAUACAGUAUACCAAUUCAUAAUUCUUCAAAAAUCAAAGAAUCACAGAAGUGUCUCAGCAUAAUUUAAUAACACCUGUCAUUUCAUGAAUAUUGACUGUGUGCCCAGAAAGAGACUGACACGCAUUUUCUCUAUUUUUCUUAGCAUGUCAGCACGUUGGGUAACAUUAUCUCCAUUUUAAACAAAAGAAAACUAAAGCUCUGAGAAGGAAAAUGUCUUCCUCAAAUUCAAAUACAUUCAGCUGGUAAGUGGUGGGUUUGAGAUUUAAGUCCUGGAAGUCUAAUUAUUGUCCAUGAUUUCUUCAGUACAUUGUGCCCCCUCUCACACAAUCAAGAACCCCUCUGGUUGGUAAUGGUCGUCAUACACAUUUCUCCUGCUGAGGCUAUUUUGUCCACAUCAGAUGGUACAGUGGUUUGAUUCUCUUACCUUUAAGAGGUGGAGUUUAAUUCCUCUUAACUUGAGUGUGGCCUGAACUUAGUGACUUACAUCCAACAAACAGAAUAUGGUGGAAGUAAAAGUGUGUGAUAGCAAGAUUAGGUCAUUGAGCACAUUAGGGCUGCCUUUUUGUUCUUCUCUUGGACCGCUUGUUCUAGAAGAAGCCAGCUAGCAUGUCGCACAGACCCUCAAGUGGCCCCAUGGAGAGACCCUGUGGUAAAACGGAGGCUUCCCAGCCAAUGUCUUCACUGCAAGCCCAUCAGAGACCUUGAACGAGAUCCACCCAUCUAAGCUGCUCCCAAAUUCCCAAUGCACAGAAACUGCUGCAGUUAUAUUUUGCUCACUGUUAUAGCCUCAGGAUCUUUCAGAGUCACUGGAAUAUGAUAGGUGCUCAACAAAUACUUGAUGAAUGACUGAAAAACAUCCUCAGAGCAGUGGACAAUGAAUGCAUAUUAGAGUCUGUGUGAGGCAACAUCACAGUGUUUUGGUAGGAAGAUUAAUCUUGCUAUCCUGCUUAGAAGGCCUGAGUAGCAGGACACAGAAAGACUGGGUUGCUUGUGAAGCACGCGGUGAGCGGGGGCAGAGAUGUCCUGUGGGAAGGGAUGGGCUUGGAAAGGCUGAUGGAUUUGGUGGGGGGUGGGGGUGGGGCGCGGUCUGAGUGAGGAGUGGAGAAUGAGAAACUCUGAUUCUGGUGUUGACCUUCCCGUCUGAAACAGCACCAACAGAGGAGGCCGCUGUACCGGUCAGCCUGGGAAGGCCUGAAUGGAGGAGACAGCAGUGAGCAGUGAGCCCUCGAGGGCUCUGUGUCCUACCGAAUGGAAUUAAAAUAGAAAUGCUAGGAGAGGCAUCUGGUUUAAGGAAGCAUUUACGAUGGGCUUUGAGGCCCGGCUAACAUGAAUACUCUGAAAAGGCAGCUCAGCUUCAUUAAUUGGCCAGGAAUACAGUAAGAGUCCAAUAAGUAUUUUUCUGAAUGAAAGAAUAAAUUAAAAAUGGAUGGAUGGAUGGAUGGCUCUGGUUUGUAUUAGACUCUUUGGAAAAAUGAUGAAGAGGACGAUUGAAGAUUCUUCCCAAGUUAGAAAGUUUUUGGUUGCUAUGUCAGGCCUUGGCCUCUCGAGGCAGUUGAAGAGACACAUAAUCUCUGAGGAACAGGAUUCUGCUGGACAGGAUGGGGGGUUCAGGGAAAAGUCAAGUCACCUCUUCCCUGAGCCAGUGAUCUAGCUGGAUCUCGCCCCUGUGGCCAAGGAUCAACCCAACUGCCAACCUUGUCAGUCACACCAGCCAGGCUGGGAAGGCUUCCGCACCACCAAAUGUUGGCAGCCGGCCCUAGCAUCCGCUGUAACAUCCUCACGGUGGUAAAAGACACAGGUCUUCCAUUGUGUGCAGGCGAGGGAGGCUGCGGGUGGGGGGCCCCAGACAGAGAGCAGAUACAUAUGAGAGGAGGCAGCCUCCACAAUCAAACAAAGGCUUGGCUGUGUUAGAGGAUCCCUCAGGGAGUCAGACAUUCAGAUGAUCAGGCUUGAGUUAAGGAAAAAGCUUUCUCUGCAAAUAGAGCAGGUGCCCGGAAGUCGGAGCACCAACUCAAGAUGCUGUGGGAAGCAAAAUUGAAAGGCCCAGGGUGGCUGGUAGUCAAGGUCAUGGUGCCACCAAGCAGGCCUCGGGAGCUAGGGGUGAGGAAGAAUUGGGCUUGGUUUUAGUCCCUGGACAAGGAGGCUAUGAAUGUGGCUGGAGGUAAAGAAGAGGCAGAGGAUAAUCGUGUUGAAGGAGAACUUAGAGAUGAGAGGUCAGAAGUCUUGGGGUUUGAAUUCAAGCUUUACCGAUUAGCAGUUGACCGUGAGUACAUUUCCUUCUUUGUGCCCUCAGUUUUGCACCUGUUCUGCUCUGGCGCAGGAUUGUUGAAGAUGGCAGAGGAGAAAUGGACGUGCCCAGAAGAGGAGCAGAGCCCCACACCACUGUGAAGGGCUUGGGCAUCAGCGAUCAUGAUUUCUCUGCAUCUCCUCACGGUGCUCAACGAAUAUAAAACAGCAGCAGUUCCCAGCUCAGAGACCCCACCCUGAAAUAUUCCCCACCAAAGUCAAGCAGGCUGCAAAUAACCUGAGGGAGCAAUGAUUUCCCCUCCGAAGCCCUCGGGAUCAAUUAGAACUAAUCAAAGAUUUGGCCCAAGAAUUAUAAAUUGGAAUUGAUAUAAAGUA